rnacentral:rRNA from 1 species
AUUGAACGCUGGCGGCAGGCCUAACACAUGCAAGUCGUGCGGAUCGGCGGACGGGGGAGUAAGGCCUAGGAAUCUGCCUGGUAGUGGGGGAUAACGUCCGGAAACGGGCGCUAAUUCUGCCUCCUAUCAGAUGAGCCUACGUCGGAUUGGCUAGUUGGUGGGGUAAAGACCUACCAAGGCCACGAUCCGUAACUGGUCUGAGAGGACGAUCAGGUACACUGGAACUGAGGCACGGGCCGGACUCCUACGGGAGGCAGCAGUGGGGAAUAUUGGACAAUUCGCCAAAGCCUGAUCCAGCCAUGCCGCGUGUGUGAAGAAGGGCUUCGGAUUGUAAAGCACUUUAAGUUGGGAGGCGUUACCGGCAGAUUAAGCACCGGCUAACGUCGUGCCAGCCGCCGCGGUAAUUC